rnacentral:lncRNA from 1 species
UAAAAACCAAACACAUGAUAGAACAUUUGAAGGUUAGAUAUAAAAAAUGUUAUAAGAAGGAAUGGAAUGGAUGGAAUAUAAUGACUAAGAAAUUAUUAAAAAAAACUAUAUGUAACUCACCCCAAGAGGAAGAUUUGUUGAAAUAGAAAUGAUUUAUUGUUGAAGCUGCUCUGCCUUUUAAAACAUUACCCCUCCAGUUUGAGAAUGAUAUAUGGGGGUUGUCACUGUCAUUAAAAUGACAUGACAACGAACCUUAGACGAAAUUUGAAAUCACGAACAUGGAACACAAGAGAUGGUACAAUGUAAAUAGGGUUGCCUAUUAUAGAACGGGCGCCAAGUGUGUAACGUUACACACUCCUCUCACCCAUCAGAAAAAUUUUGAACAAGUGAGAAAUUUUUCUCAAAGAAAACAGGAAUGUUACACACUCCCUCCACUCAUCAGAAAAAUUUCGAACACAGGUGAGAAAUUUUUCUCAAAGAAAAUAUGAAGACAAAGUUCUAACCAGAAACAAAUAUAUGCAGUAGUAAUCGUUCAGAACAAAUCAAAAAUAAAUACUCAUAAUAAAAUGUUACUCUGGGGAAAAUAAAAAUAUUACCCAAUGAAUUGUAGUAUUCAUCACACUAUAAAAUAUUUAUUUAUUAUAAAUAAAUGACUUCAGAGAAUAUCUAUCUCUGGAUAAAAAAAUAAAUGUACUUUAAAAAAAGUAUGAAAUAAAUUCAAAUAUAUAAAGACAUAUAGUAUAAAGUCUAAGAAAUAAUCAAAUUUAACUAAUAAUCCAAGUAAGUAAUAAUUAAAGGUAAAUAAGUUGACCUAAGCCAAAUAAUGUUGUUUAUAAAAAUGAAUUGCAAAUAUUCAGGUAUUUAUAUAAUAUAGAAGGCAUAUAACCAAAAAGUAAAUAUAAUGGAUAAAAUAAAUAAAUAGCUAGUGGAGCUACUAAGAAGUGAAUCUCAUAACAAAACACCAGUACCCUGGAUAAGGAGUACGGAAAGUAAGGUAAUAAUAUAAUAAUCAAUAUAACAAGGUAAGUACAAGCAUAUUAGUAGACAAAGAUAAUAUAAGUAUAAUAUAAU